GGAGAGAUGGCCGAGUGGUUGAUGGCUCUGGUCUUGAAAACCAGUAUAGUUCACAAAACUAUCGAGGGUUCGAAUCCCUCUCUCUCCU
rnacentral:tRNA from 1 species